CCUACGGGUGGCAGCAGUAGGGAAUCUUCGGCAAUGGACGGAAGUCUGACCGAGCAACGCCGCGUGAGUGAAGAAGGUUUUCGGAUCGUAAAGCUCUGUUGUAAGAGAAGAACGAGUGUGAGAGUGGAAAGUUCACACUGUGACGGUAUCUUACCAGAAAGGGACGGCUAACUACGUGCCAGCAGCCGCGGUAAUACGUAGGUCCCGAGCGUUGUCCGGAUUUAUUGGGCGUAAAGCGAGCGCAGGCGGUUAGAUAAGUCUGAAGUUAAAGGCUGUGGCUUAACCAUAGUACGCUUUGGAAACUGUUUAACUUGAGUGCAAGAGGGGAGGGUGGAAUUCCAUGUGUAGCGGUGAAAUGCGUAGAUAUAUGGAGGAACACCGGUGGCGAAAGCGGCUCUCUGGCUUGUAACUGACGCUGAGGCUCGAAAGCGUGGGGAGCAAACAGGAUUAGAUACCCCAGUAGUC
rnacentral:rRNA from 1 species